UUCGGAUACUAUUCUAUAUAACUUUAAUAGUAUUAUUACGAUAGUGCAUCAAAUGGUGUCCUGUUCUCAACGCAGUUGCAGUCAGUAGCAGAAGCAAUGUAGAUAAAAAAUCUGCAGAAAUAACGUUUCAUUCAUAGGUUAGUAUGCAAAUAUGUAAACAAAGGAAUUACUCAUAUUUCAGAAAAUAAAUUAAUACUAAUACUAUUAAUAAAACAUCUUUUAAGUAACGUAGAUAACGUUUCUCGAUUCAUUUUUCAGUCAUUGAAUAUUUUUAAACGUUAACAAAAGAGUAAAAGUAAAACAUACUUUCCAGCAGAUCCUGAAAGGUGUGAAGUAUAGAUCAGAUUUGUUAAUAGAGGAGUAUGUUCAAAA
rnacentral:lncRNA from 1 species